UUGUUAUUGCACAGAAUGUGAUUUACAAGUACAUCAUGGUUUAUUUUCUGAUAUGCUUCAGUAAUCCUUUACUCACAAUCAUAAAAUCUGUAUUUAGAACUCAAAAUAUUCCAUCUCUGGAGACAACAAUUUUUUUUUUUUUUUAUUCAAUUACAACCAUGAAGUUCCCUUGUUGUAUCAAGACAACACUAAACACCAUAGAAAUUCAUAUUUUCCUUUGCUCUAUCCUACUCCUACAUUGCUGCUUUAUCUUCUCUUUCAGUUGAGCCUUUGUCUGUGCUCCUGUGCUCUAUCCUACUCCUGCAUUUUUAAGCACCUACUCCUGCAUCGCUGCUUUAUCUUCUCUUUCAGUUGAGCCUUUGCCUGUGCUCUUGUGCUCUAUCCCACUCCUGCAUUUUUAAGCAUACUUCAUAAUCAUAACAGAAACCUAAAUAAGAUCAUAACAGAUAUGAGUACUGGAACACAAAUGUCCUUACAUAAGUUACACAAUUACAAGAUAUGUUCCUUACACAAAAAGUUUGAGCAUACAACACUUGCUUGUUACACUGACAUGCAUACAACACACUUGUUUCUUAGCCUCCCGCUCUUUGUUUUCAAGCUCAAUGGUAAAAUAAGUGUGUAUGAUUUCUCGCUAAAGUUUACGCUAUGCGCCUGCAACAAAAUGUUUCAGAGAAAAAUCAAUAGCUGAGCAAACAACCAUGCAUGUUAAAUUGGAAUUCUAUUACCAGGUAAACUUCAAUCACAUACAAACAAGAACUAUAAACCUUUUGAAAUAAGCAUCAGAUACUAUUGGUUCUACGCUUCAAAUUCAUGAUGAAAAGGAAGCUAGCUUGAUCCCAUUUUUCUCCUUAGUUGUAAUGGAAACCCCACUUGAUCAUCAUCUAGUAGAUUCUACAUGUAUAUAUAUAUUCUCAGCUGCGGACGUCCGCACCAAUUUUUUGGUGCGGAUUUCCAUUUUUGCACCACUUUCCGAUCGAAUUUCCUCAUCUCCACCAUCUAGUAUCUAGAUAAUAUUGUGUAGAUCAUCUCUACAAAAUUUCAGCCAAUUUGGUGAUCGUUAAGGCCCUUAAACUCGAAAAACAAAUGGACGGACUGAAUUCUGUCCGGUUGUGUUCAUACCAGAAAACUUGAGUUUGAGGGUCUUAACGAUCACCAAAUUAGCUGAAAUUUUGCAGAGAUGAUCUACACAAUAUUAUCUAGAUACUAGACGGUGGAGAUGAGGAAAUNNNNNNNNNNNNNNNNNNNNUUGGUGCGGACAUCCGCAUACGAGAAGGGCUGUAUAUAUAUAUAUAUAUACAUGUAUAUUGUAUGAAUGUUGCUGUUUCUUUUUAUCCACCAAUGUAAUAAAUCAUGACAGUUUAGUGUAGAGCAAUACAUGGUGCUAUCUACGAUAGUGGUGGCCGCCAGAAACUUAAAACUUUUAUAGUUAAAGGACUCUUAGAUACUUACCUUAAUAGUUACAAGGCUCACGGACAAAACCAAGACCCUUGCUUUAUUCAUAAACAGAAAAGAAGUUCUUACCAUAUUGGAUUAUCAUCUCCAAACCUUCAGCUUCGUUGUCCCAUUUCUCAUAUAAGUUAUCAACAAAAAAAUAACCCAAACCUAUGUCUACUGUGGCCGUUUUUAAAGUUUUGAGUGUAAAAGGUGAGCCUAUAAUUUGGAACCAAUUGUUGGUCUAAUUGAAAUGCACCUCCUAACAUGGGGACUACACAUAUAACAUGAUAUAUGUAAUUUUGUUCUGUUAGUAUAAACAAGAACUAAAAGCACCAAGAGAGCAUGACUAUCACAUUCGAAAGCAACAACAACAAUUGGUUCUACUCUGCAAACUAAACAAUUUGUCCUAAAGACAAAACAACAAAUUAUGUAUACAUCUACAGCUGAAGGCAAAUGAAGUCUGCGUACAUAAAAAUCUCUAACAUAGCUUUCAUGUCCAUCUGAGAAACCAACAAACAGUAUGCAGCAUACCAAAUUUGCCGAUUAACUAAAAAAUUAGAUAUCAACUAAAACCAAUGAGAGUGAAACUCUUGAACCCUUCACAAUUAACACCAUAUUUACAAUCCUCAAGAUUCCAACUUCACAGUUCAUAGCAAGUGUAACCUAAAAAAGCAUAUGAACAAGUAAGGUUGACGAUUGCUUACCACACCUGUAACAUUGGAUCCUCCUACAAUCUGGUUUAAUCUGCUGAGGGUUUUUGGGCAACGACAGAGAAGAGGACAAGAGGAGGAGAUUCGGGCGAUGACAAUCUUCCAUCUCCAGCGAUACGAGUCUGGGUCUCCGGCGAAACGAGUUUGGUUUAAUCUCCAGAGGGUCUUUUGGAAACGAUGGAGAAGAGGAGAAGAAUCGGGCACGACCGUCUUCCUCUCAAAGGCGAUGCAAGUUUGGGUGCUGAUUUGAUUUUUUUUUCUCUGUCUGUGAGAAGGAUGAUGAGCAAAAGUGGAGAAGACGAGAAGGAGACGUCUUGGUUUUGG
rnacentral:lncRNA from 1 species